rnacentral:rRNA from 1 species
UGGCUCAGGAUGAACGCUAGCGGCAGGCUUACACAUGCAAGUCGAGGGGUAAGGCUCCUUCGGGAGUACACGACCGGCGCACGGGUGAGUAACGCGUAUGCAACCUACCCGUAGCUUGAGCAUAGCCCGAAGAAAUUCGGAUUAAUACUCUAUAAUAUUCUAAGGUGGCAUCACCAUAGUCUUAAAGCUCCGGCGGCUACGGAUGGGCAUGCGUGACAUUAGCAAGUUGGUGAGGUAACGGCUCACCAAAGCUACGAUGUCUAUGGGGUCUUAAAGGAUGAUCCCACACACUGGUACUGAGACACGGACCAGACUCCUACGGGAGGCAGCAGUGAGGAAUAUUGGUCAAUGGACGAAAGUCUGAACCAGCCAUGCCGCGCGCAGGAUUGACAGCUCUAGUAGUUGUAAACUGCUUUUAUAUGAGAAGAAACCACCCUACGUGUAGGGUGCUGACUGUAUCGUAAGAAUAAGCAUCGGCUAACUCCGUGCCAGCAGCCGCGGUAAUACGGAGGAUGCAAGCGUUAUCCGGAUUUAUUGGGUUUAAAGAGUGCGUAGGCGGGAAAGUAAGUCAGUGGUGAAAGUCUGCGGCUCAACCGUAGAAUUGCCAUUGAUACUGUUUUCCUUGAAUGCAGUUGAGGUAGGCGGAAUGUGUAAUGUAGCGGUGAAAUGCUUAGAUAUUACACAGAACACCGAUUGCGUAGGCAGCUUACUAAACUGUUAUUGACGCUGAGGCACGAAAGCGUGGGGAGCGAACAGGAUUAGAUACCCUGGUAGUCCACGCCGUAAACGAUGAUCACUCGCUGUUGGCAAUACAUCGUCAGCGGCUGAGCGAAAGCAUUAAGUGAUCCACCUGGGGAGUACGUCGGCAACGAUGAAACUCAAAGGAAUUGACGGGGGCCCGCACAAGCGGAGGAACAUGUGGUUUAAUUCGAUGAUACGCGAGGAACCUUACCUGGGCUUAAAUGUAGGGCGACCGCUGCCGAAAGGCGGCUUUCUUCGGACGACCUACAAGGUGCUGCAUGGCUGUCGUCAGCUCGUGCCGUGAGGUGUCGGGUUAAGUCCCAUAACGAGCGCAACCCCUAUUCUUAGUUGCCAGCGGAUAAUGCCGGGGGCUCUAAGAAGACUGCCACCGUAAGGUGUGAGGAAGGUGGGGAUGACGUCAAGUCAGCACGGCCCUUACGUCCAGGGCUACACACGUGUUACAAUGGCCGGUACAAAGGGCAGCUACACAGCAAUGUGAUGCUAAUCUCAAAAACCGGUCUCAGUUCGGAUUGAAGUCUGCAACUCGACUUCAUGAAGUUGGAUUCGCUAGUAAUCGUAUAUCAGCAACGAUACGGUGAAUACGUUCCCGGGCAUUGUACACACCGCCCGUCAAGCCAUGGAAGCCGGGGGUACCUGAAGUCCGUAACCGAAAGGAUCGGCCUAGGGUAAACUGUAACUGGGGCUAAGUCG